AUGGUCAAUUGAAUUUUAUAAUUGAUCUGGCCUGCCCACUGAUAUUGAAGGGCUGCAGUAUUUUGACUGUACAAAGGUAGCAUAAUCAUUAGCCUUUUAAUUAAAGGCUGGUAUGAAGGGUUUGACGAGAAAAUAACUGUCUCUAAUAUAUAAAUUAAAUUUUAUUUUUCUGUUAAAAAGCAGAAGUAUCUAAGAGGGACAAGAAGACCCUUUCAAACUUAAUUUUUAUUAUAUUUUUAUUAGAUUAAAAUUAAUUAAUUAUAUAAAUUAAAAUUUUACUGGGGCGGUAAGUAUCUUUUAACGAUACUAUAUUUUACUUGUUUAAUAAAUAUCUAAAAUAAUAUCCUAUUAGUUAGAAUAAGAACAAGUUACUGAAGGGAUAACAGCGUAAUGGUUUUUGAGAGUUCCUAUUGACAAAACUGCUUGCGA
rnacentral:rRNA from 1 species